AAUAUGUGAUAAGGACAUAGUCUUAUCAUAUAUUUAGAUCUUUCCCAAGCAUCAAAAAGUGAUUCUCCUUCGAUCUGUCUAAACAUAGUUAUAUGAUCUCUUACAAC